ACGGUAGCCAGUCGCAGCAGCCGGUACUUGGUGAAGGAUAAGCAGAAGAGCGGGUUACCGUGUCCUUGACUACUGGACUGCCCAUAUCAUCGACUGCUCAGAGGCUACAAAACCUCAGGAAGACGCCGUGAAAAAGCAAAGAAGACAUGCUGAAAGCAGUUAUGGAUCAGUCUGCCAGAGAGAG